rnacentral:tRNA from 1 species
GCCUGGGUGGCUCAGUCGGUUAAGCAUCUGACUUCGGCUCAGGUCAUGAUCUCGCCGUCCGCGAGUUCGAGCCCUGCGUCAGGCU